ACCAAAAGAACGACCCGACACUAUACGUUUCCUUCUUCUUUGAUUUCUUCACGUUGCAGACAGCGAGCCAGACGCCCCAAAACCAGUUCAGCAAGAACAAGCCCAGCAGCCCAACGCGAGCGUUGUUGGUCGUCCCUUCUCUCCCUUAUCCUCCUCUCCGUAUAAAGCCGUUUUUGAGGAUAUCCAGGUGUCUAAAUCGAGUUACUCCUUCGUCUUUUUCUCAAAAAUCAAACGGAUGACAUUGGAAUUCCGUAGGUGAUUGAUACAAUUCGAGCUGACACCGUACCUCUUGAGAAAUUUGCAUUUCGAAUUUCAAAUUUUGAAUUCAUUAAAAAUCCCUCCCAAAUUCCCCCAAAGUCUGACCUAGAUUUUCUUUUAUAAAUUUCUCAUAUUUUUCUUUAUUGUAGGGGUGGGGAAAAAAUAGAGUCAAUGGGUUACAAAAAAAAAAAGAGGAAGAAAUCGGAAGAUAGUUUGUCUCCAGUAGCCACAUUUUUUAGAUUUUCUUUCUUUCGGAAGCUUUCGUCGGAGGUUCUAGAUUUUAUAGUAGUUUCAUCGAAUAUUGAUUCCAAAAAGAAUCAUGAGUUUCUUUUAAUCUUGGUUUCUCGCUUAUUCACUAUCCUCCGAAGUUAUCGGAUUCUCGUUGUUGUCGUGGGAAGCUUUUUCCCUGCUCGUCUGGUCUCAGUCGCUGCCCAGGAAGAGGUAAUGUUUCCUCUAUAAUACUCACUUCAUUUUUUUAUUUUUUUCUGCUUUGAUAUGGUGUUUCGAUGUAGUGAAUUCACGACUUUGUUGUUAGGUUGUCGUUAAUCGGUUUUGAAUGUUGAUAGCUUGUAUAUACGACAUGUAUGAUUAAGUAAUUCCUUUGGCUUAUUGUUGGCUAUCGAUUUGGUCUUUUAGCUUUAUCAUGACAAUUUCUAUAUUUCACUUCUCAAGCCUAUUUCGUUAUUUGCUUUCGAUUGUUGAGUCUACUUUUAUCCAUUUGCUUUACUUUCAAGCAUCUGUUUUUCUUCUCUUUAUUUUUUGGUUUUUAUUUUAGUCGUUUAGGUUUAUAUUAUAUUAAUAGUCAAUGUUUCCUUUGUCCUACUUGAAGCUUUUGUUUUGUUACCUAAGUAAAAUAUAUGGCAGAGCUCAUAGUUUCUUUCUUCAUUUUUUUUCACUAUAAAUUUCAUGCUCCUCUUUCCAUUUGGGUUUAUGUCUCAUGCUUGAGUUUGUGUUUCUAUUUAAAUGAUAUUUUUAUUUGAUUCACCAUUCUUCCUUAGGUUCUGUCGAUAUAGUAUAUGCAUAUGUGUGUUGUGUUUAUAGCUAGCUAUCAUACUCCAAAAUUUGAAAAUGUUUUCUGUAUGCUUGAAAUUGUUUGAAGAUUUAUGCCUCUGUAACUUUAUUGUUAGUUGCUAUUAUUGUGUGAUCCCAUUUAAAUUUUCUGUACUCUCUUGUUUGUAGUGGGAAUUUUGUUGGCAUUUUAUUUAUUUAUUUGGAUUACUACAAUGUUUGUAUAAGAUUUUGAGUUCAAAUUGAUGGAUAAUGUGUACUCCAUCGUUAAGUUUAUUUGAACUUGACAUUUGUGCCAGUGUGAACUAUAAAUUCAUUAUUUCCUGAACCUUUAAUUUGAUUUACGCCAUUGCUAAUCCUUAUCUUUUUUUUCUUUUUCUUUUCGGUGUGCCUAUAAAAUCUCGAUCGAGUUCAACGGAUUCAAUGAUCUAUCUCAUUGCAUUUCUUAAUGGGCCAUAAAAGCCCAAAGAUUUGUCUAGCAAGUCGUUAAGCAGGUUGCUGAAGGUUAAACAAAGCUGGAAUUCAAAAUUUCAAGCUCUGAAAUGCCGAAAAAGAGGUUUCAGAAUGUCUCAACAAGAUGGACAUGUUCAUGUUGUAUCAAUACAAUUUAUCAACAAGUUUGAUUAAAAAAUGAGAUUUUUUUAGAAAGGAUGAGAAGAACAAAUUUAUGAUAUAUCAACUAAUGUAUUUUGAAAUACCAAUUGAAGUGGUCAGUAACUUCUUUUACCAUCUCUUACUGUGGUGCCAAGAUCGAGAUAAGAUGAAGAGUAUGCUAAGUAGCAGAAUCAACAUUUUCUUGUGAUUUCCUUCUAAUAUAUAUCGAAUUUUCAUGUU